GACCCAGUGGCGGACGGUCCGCGUCUGUCUCCAUUUCACGUAUCCUACCCUUUCGAUAGCAGAAGGCGCCCGUUCGACUCGGGCCUGGGUCA